AGCCCGGGAGCGACUGCUGGCAUGGAGCGGAUCCCCCUCUAACGAGCUCAGCGGUGAUGCCUUCAGGACCAUCGGACGUCCCAGCUUCAGGUUGACGCAGCGGUGAAUAAGCAGGAAAAGAUGGACAUCCAGAAUGUUCCCUGUGCUCUGACGGACGGAGGAGACGACAAAGAUGGAGGCGACGAUGGAGCAGCAGUGGAUUCAGGAAACACUUCAGACCAACUGUCUGAACAGGAAACCAGGAAGCCUCAGCCGGACGCUCAGACUGUGGCGGCGUGUUUUUGGAGGGACUGAUGAUGAAAUCAGAAAAAUUAGGGAUCCACAGGCUUUUACUGUACAAGCUAGAAAUACUCAGGUGAAUUACUUCAAAAGGUCAUGACCCCACCUGCCCUGAGGGAGGGGGGGUAUGUGCGGGGCACACAGGUCUUUACAAAAGCUCAUGCACAUUUUUUUUUACAGGCCUGCUGCAGGUGAAGUGAACACCUGUACAACAUGACAGGGCAGGUAAGGGGGAAGUAGGUGAGAUGGGCGUGUCCUACAGGUUUCUGACCCACCCGAAAACCAGCACACUGCAGAGGGAGCCCGAUGCCGUUCACGUGAUAUGUGCGCGCUCCUACCUGCUGCCUGAAAUGAGGAAUUUACAUAGAGGGUAGUUUGUGUGGACGUCCCACAAAUCCAGGCCUGGGGGGCCGGUGUCCUGCUGGUUUCCCAGAAUCGCUGCCUGAUCUGCUGUGGAUUACCUGGAUCAGGUGUGUUUAGCCAAUAAGGAGCUGCGAUGGCGAUGGUUGGAAUACAAGGACCCCGGCCCCCCAGGUCUGGAUUUGGGGGCCCUGUUCUACGGGCAGCUAGGUAUAACCUUAACACGCCGUUUGUGCAGCAUUUGUGCACCGUCGGUCAUUUUUUUCAUCUGCUCCUGAUUCACAGUGAUUUAAACAAAGAAAUGUUCAGAAACACAAUUUUAAUCUGAUUUUUUAUUUUAUUUUUGUCCCAUCAUGAGAAAAAAGCCACAAGAACAUGUUAAAAACACUAUUUUCAUUGGAGGGGGGCUUUAAGGUGGCUGUACGAGCGGGACGACACACCUGCUCCCCCCUAAGGGUGCAGCCGCUCCUCUACGGGUCAGGACGACCCAGAAUAAUAAGAUGAACACUGACCAGGUUAACGUGUGUAAAGUGAGAGAAACUAAAGUUCUUGGAGUUGAAGAAAAAGUUGAAAUGGGAGUAAAAAUGAUGGAGAAAGAAAAACUCCACAUUAUUUUCCUGUUACUGCUGCGAAUGUUCUAUGGUUCCUUUAUUCCUCCUCAUCUUAGUUGUGACUCUGAAGGUCUCCACCCACACCAAGCCCUCCUUUCCAUUACACAACAGAGCAUCAGAACAAUGAAGACCCACACAGAGGACGACCAUCUGUCUGCAGGGUCACCCUGCCAACCUUUGGGGAUUCAGCUGAUGGGAAAAUCCUGAUGUUUAGGUUAAAAAGCAAAUGGAACAUUUUCUUCUAACAA